rnacentral:rRNA from 1 species
CGAGCGAACGGACGAGAAGCUUGCUUCUCUGAUGUUAGCGGCGGACGGGUGAGUAACACGUGGAUAACCUACCUAUAAGACUGGGAUAACUUCGGGAAACCGGAGCUAAUACCGGAUAAUAUUUUGAACCGCAUGGUUCAAAAGUGAAAGACGGUCUUGCUGUCACUUAUAGAUGGAUCCGCGCUGCAUUAGCUAGUUGGUAAGGUAACGGCUUACCAAGGCAACGAUGCAUAGCCGACCUGAGAGGGUGAUCGGCCACACUGGAACUGAGACACGGUCCAGACUCCUACGGGAGGCAGCAGUAGGGAAUCUUCCGCAAUGGGCGAAAGCCUGACGGAGCAACGCCGCGUGAGUGAUGAAGGUCUUCGGAUCGUAAAACUCUGUUAUUAGGGAAGAACAUAUGUGUAAGUAACUGUGCACAUCUUGACGGUACCUAAUCAGAAAGCCACGGCUAACUACGUGCCAGCAGCCGCGGUAAUACGUAGGUGGCAAGCGUUAUCCGGAAUUAUUGGGCGUAAAGCGCGCGUAGGCGGUUUUUUAAGUCUGAUGUGAAAGCCCACGGCUCAACCGUGGAGGGUCAUUGGAAACUGGAAAACUUGAGUGCAGAAGAGGAAAGUGGAAUUCCAUGUGUAGCGGUGAAAUGCGCAGAGAUAUGGAGGAACACCAGUGGCGAAGGCGACUUUCUGGUCUGUAACUGACGCUGAUGUGCGAAAGCGUGGGGAUCAAACAGGAUUAGAUACCCUGGUAGUCCACGCCGUAAACGAUGAGUGCUAAGUGUUAGGGGGUUUCCGCCCCUUAGUGCUGCAGCUAACGCAUUAAGCACUCCGCCUGGGGAGUACGACCGCAAGGUUGAAACUCAAAGGAAUUGACGGGGACCCGCACAAGCGGUGGAGCAUGUGGUUUAAUUCGAAGCAACGCGAAGAACCUUACCAAAUCUUGACAUCCUU